rnacentral:rRNA from 1 species
GACGAACGCUGGCGGCGUGCCUAACACAUGCAAGUCGAACGGAGAUACGAUUUCGGUUGUAUCUUAGUGGCGAACGGGUGAGUAACGCGUGAGCAACCUAACUCUUAGAGGGGGAUAACACUCGGAAACGGGUGCUAAUACCGCAUAAGACCACGACAUGGCAUCAUGACGAGGUCAAAGGAGCAAUCCGCUGAGAGAGGGGCUCGCGUCCCAUUAGAUAGAUGGCGGGGUAACGGCCCACCAUGUCGACGAUGGGUAGCCGAGCUGAGAGGCUGAUCGGCCACACUGGAACUGAGACACGGUCCAGACUCCUACGGGAGGCAGCAGUGGGGAAUAUUGGGCAAUGGGCGCAAGCCUGACCCAGCAACGCCGCGUGAGGGAAGAAGGCUUUCGGGUUGUAAACCUCUGUCCUUGGUGACGAAAAAAAUGACGGUAGCCAAGGAGGAAGCCCCGGCUAACUACGUGCCAGCAGCCGCCGUAA